rnacentral:rRNA from 1 species
AUUGAACGCUGGCGGCAUGCUUUACACAUGCAAGUCGAACGGUAACAGGCCUUCGGGUGCUGACGAGUGGCGAACGGGUGAGUAAUGCAUCGGAACGUGCCCAGAGGUGGGGGAUAACGCAGCGAAAGCUGUGCUAAUACCGCAUGUGAUCUGAGGAUGAAAGCGGGGGACCAGGCAGCAAUGUUUGGCCUCGCGCCUUUGGAGCGGCCGAUGUCAGAUUAGGUAGUUGGUGGGGUAAAGGCCUACCAAGCCGACGAUCUGUAGCUGGUCUGAGAGGACGAUCAGCCACACUGGGACUGAGACACGGCCCAGACUCCUACGGGAGGCAGCAGUGGGGAAUUUUGGACAAUGGGCGCAAGCCUGAUCCAGCAAUGCCGCGUGCGGGAAGAAGGCCUUCGGGUUGUAAACCGCUUUUGUACGGAACGAAAAGGCUCUGGCUAAUACCUGGGGCUGAUGACGGUACCGUAAGAAUAAGCACCGGCUAACUACGU